GGAGGUUAGAGCUCAGUGGUGGAGUGUAUGCUUAGCAUGCACGAGGUCCUGGGUUCAAUACCCAGUACCUCCG
rnacentral:tRNA from 1 species